GAUGAAGAACGUAGCGAAAUGCAAUACGUAAUGUGAAUUGCAGAAUUCAGUGAAUCAUCGAAUCUUUGAACGCACAUUGCGCCCGCCAGCACUCUGGCGGGCAUGCCUGUUCGAGCGUCAUUUCAACCAUCAAGCCCCAGGCUUGCGUUGGAGCCCUGCGGCUGCCGAAGCCUCCUAAAAGCAGUGGCGGGCUCGCUAUCACACCGAGUGCAGUAGAUUACUCUUCGCUCAGGGCGUGCAGCGGGUUCCGGCCGUGAAACCCCCUACUUUUAAAGGUUGACCUCGGAUCAGGUAGGAAUACCCGCUGAACUUAAGCAUAUCAAUAAGCGGAGGA
rnacentral:misc_RNA from 1 species